rnacentral:rRNA from 1 species
UACGGAGGGUGCAAGCGUUAUCCGGAUUCACUGGGUUUAAAGGGUGCGUAGGUGGGCAGGUAAGUCAGUGGUGAAAUCUCCGGGCUUAACCCGGAAACUGCCAUUGAUACUAUUUGUCUUGAAUACCGUGGAGGUCAGCGGAAUAUGUCAUGUAGCGGUGAAAUGCUUAGAUAUGACAUAGAACACCAAUGGCGAAGGCAGCUGGCUACACGAAUAUUGACACUGAUGCACGAAAGCGUGGGGAGCAAACAGG